rnacentral:misc_RNA from 1 species
GCAAACUGUAGCCUCCAUUGUUAGCUUCGUGUAUGUAUUUUUCGGCGCGAAUUCAAGCACCAUAGUUACUGAACAAGUUUUACUUUUCGAGUUCUUUAUCUUGAUCUCCUGACUAGAGAAAUUCCUGUUGGAUUACCUCCCCAUUCUUCGAAUACUACUAACAAGUUUCCACUUGGUUUCAGCCACGAUCGUGGAACAUGGUACCAUCUCUGAGAAGGU